rnacentral:rRNA from 1 species
GAAAAGCGUAGUCGAUGGGAAACAGGUUAAUAUUCCUGUACUUCUGGUUACUGCGAUGGAGGGACGGAGAAGGCUAGGCCAGCUUGGCGUUGGUCGUCCAAGUUUAAGGUGGUAGGCUGAAAUCUUAGGUAAAUCCGGGGUUUCAAGGCCGAGAGCUGAUGACGAGUCGUCUUUUAGAUGACGAAGUGGUUGAUGCCAUGCUUCCAAGAAAAGCUUCUAAGCUUCAGGUAACCAGGAACCGUACCCCAAACCGACACAGGUGGUCGGGUAGAGAAUACCAAGGCGCUUGAGAGAACUCGGGUGAAGGAACUAGGCAAAAUGGCACCGUAACUUCGGGAGAAGGUGCGCCGGCUAGGGUGAAGGAUUUACUCCGUAAGCUCUGGCUGGUCGAAGAUACCAGGCCGCUGCGACUGUUUAUUAAAAACACAGCACUCUGCAAACACGAAAGUGGACGUAUAGGGUGUGACGCCUCCCCGGUGCCGGAAGGUUAAUUGAUGGGGUUAGCGCAAGCGAAGCUCUUGAUCGAAGCCCCGGUAAACGGCGGCCGUAACUAUAACGGUCCUAAGGUAGCGAAAUUCCUUGUCGGGUAAGUUCCGACCUGCACGAAUGGCGUAACGAUGGCGGCGCUGUCUCCACCCGAGACUCAGUGAAAUUGAAAUCGCUGUGAAGAUGCAGUGUAUCCGCGGCUAGACGGAAAGACCCCGUGAACCUUUACUGUAGCUUUGCACUGGACUUUGAGCCUGCUUGUGUAGGAUAGGUGGGAGGCUUUGAAGCGUGGACGCCAGUUCGCAUGGAGCCAUCCUUGAAAUACCACCCUGGCAUGCUUGAGGUUCUAACUCUGGUCCGUAAUCCGGAUCGAGGACAGUGUAUGGUGGGCAGUUUGACUGGGGCGGUCUCCUCCUAAAGAGUAACGGAGGAGUACGAAGGUGCGCUCAGACCGGUCGGAAAUCGGUCGCAGAGUAUAAAGGCAAAAGCGCGCUUGACUGCGAGACAGACACGUCGAGCAGGUACGAAAGUAGGUCUUAGUGAUCCGGUGGUUCUGUAUGGAAGGGCCAUCGCUCAACGGAUAAAAGGUACUCCGGGGAUAACAGGCUGAUACCGCCCAAGAGUUCAUAUCGACGGCGGUGUUUGGCACCUCGAUGUCGGCUCAUCACAUCCUGGGGCUGAAGCCGGUCCCAAGGGUAUGGCUGUUCGCCAUUUAAAGUGGUACGCGAGCUGGGUUUAGAACGUCGUGAGACAGUUCGGUCCCUAUCUGCCGUGGACGUUUGAGAUUUGAGAGGGGCCGCUCCUAGUACGAGAGGACCGGAGUGGACGAACCUCUGGUGUUCCGGUUGUCACGCCAGUGGCAUUGCCGGGUAGCUAUGUUCGGAAAAGAUAACCGCUGAAAGCAUCUAAGCGGGAAACUUGCCUCAAGAUGAGAUCUCACUGGGAACUUGAUUCCCCUGAAGGGCCGUCGAAGACUACGACGUUGAUAGGCUGGGUGUGUAAGCGUUGUGAGGCGUUGAGCUAACCAGUACUAAUUGCCCGUGAGGCUUGACC